rnacentral:rRNA from 1 species
UACAGAGGUCUCAAGCGUUGUUCGGAUUCAUUGGGCGUAAAGGGUGCGUAGGUGGCGGGGUAAGUCAGGUGUGAAAUCUCGGGGCUCAACCCCGAAACUGCACUUGAUACUGCCUUGCUUGAGUACUGGAGAGGAGAUUGGAAUUUACGGUGUAGCAGUGAAAUGCGUAGAUAUCGUAAGGAAGACCAGUGGCGAAGGCGAAUCUCUGGACAGUUACUGACACUGAGGCACGAAGGCCAGGGGAGCAAACCGGG